GGUAAUACAGAUGUCAUGUCAUAUAUUCCCAGGGUGAAGAAGAGAAAGAAACCCAGCAAAUGACUCCAGAUGUUGACUGUUUCAUUCGACAAAAUAAACAAACUACAAAAUAAACAAAAUGCAACUCAUAUACAUGCUGGCUCACUCACCGUCAGAAUUCAAAGGACAAUUAUGUGGCUCAAAGCACCUGAAUUUCCACAGGACUGCACUAAAAGGAAACAAAGCUUAGCCAUACACGGAGGCAAGUAGUACUCAACUCAGCCAUUGUCAAUGGGAUCGAUUACAACAUAUAUGCCGAUAAGCAGCAAAAGGAAUAAAGGAUGAUUUUCAGUGAGCUGGCAUAGAGAGAUAUAGGGGCUACAUGGAGCAUUUGGGUUCGGCAGUAGAACCCAGAGACUUCAUUAGACCUCUAUUUGAUCCCUUUGGCUAGACUACACGUGUAAUCCGCCAGACUGAUGAAUUACCAC